rnacentral:rRNA from 1 species
UAGGGAAUCUUCGGCAAUGGACGAAAGUCUGACCGAGCAACGCCGCGUGAGUGAAGAAGGUUUUCGGAUCGUAAAACUCUGUUGUUAGAGAAGAACAAGGACGUUAGUAACUGAACGUCCCCUGACGGUAUCUAACCAGAAAGCCACGGCUAACUACGUGCCAGCAGCCGCGGUAAUACGUAGGUGGCAAGCGUUGUCCGGAUUUAUUGGGCGUAAAGCGAGCGCAGGCGGUUUCUUAAGUCUGAUGUGAAAGCCCCCGGCUCAACCGGGGAGGGUCAUUGGGAACUGGGAGACUUGAGUGCAGAAGAGGAGGGUGGAAUUCCAUGUGUAGCGGUGAAAUGCGUAGAUAUAUGGGGGAACACCAGUGGCGAAGGCGGCUCUCUGGUCUGUAACUGACGCUGAGGCUCGAAAGCGUGGGGAGCAAACAGG